rnacentral:rRNA from 1 species
UGCCAGCAGCCGCGGUAAUACGGGGGGAGCAAGCGUUGUCCGGAAUUACUGGGCGUAAAGCGCGUGUAGGCGGCAUGUUAAGUCGACUGUGAAAGCCCAUAGCUCAACCCCGGAAGUGCACUUGAAACAGCAAGACUUGAAUACGGUAGAGGAGAGAGGAAUUCCUGGUGUAGAGGUGAAAUUCGUAGAUAUCAGGAGGAACACCGAUGGCGAAGGCAUCUCUCUAGGCCGAUAUUGACGCUGAGGCGCGAAGGCGUGGGUAGCGAACGGGAUUAGAUA